CUCCCAUCUAAGUACUAAGCAGGCCUGAUCAUGCUUAGCUUCCAAGAUCAGAUGAAAUCGGGCAUGUUCAGGGUGG
rnacentral:sRNA from 1 species